GCAUAUCAAUAAGCGGAGGAAAAGAAACUAACAAGGAUUCCCCUAGUAACUGCGAGUGAAGCGGGAAAAGCUCAAAUUUAAAAUCUGGUGGUCUUCGGCCAUCCGAGUUGUAAUCUAGAGAAGUGUUACCCGCGUCGGACCGUGUACAAGUCUCCUGGAAUGGAGCGUCAUAGAGGGUGAGAAUCCCGUCUUUGACACGGACUACCGAGGCUUUGUGGUGCGCUCUCAAAGAGUCGAGUUGUUUGGGAAUGCAGCUCAAAAUGGGUGGUAAAUUCCAUCUAAAGCUAAAUAUUGGCGAGAGACCGAUAGCGAACAAGUACCGUGAGGGAAAGAUGAAAAGAACUUUGGAAAGAGAGUUAAACAGUACGUGAAAUUGCUGAAAGGGAAACGCUUGAAGUCAGUCGCGUUGGCCGGAAAUCAGCCUUCCUUUUGGUUGGUGUACUUUCUGGUUGACGGGCCAGCAUCAGUUUUGACCGGUGGAUAAAGUUGUGAGGAAUGUGGCAUCUUCGGGUGUGUUAUAGCCUCGCUUCGUAUACAUCGAUUGGGACUGAGGAACUCAGCACGCCGAAAGGCCGGGGUUCGCCCACGUUCGUGCUUAGGAUGCUGGCAUAAUGGCUUUAAUCGACCCGUCUUGAAACACGGACCAAGGAGUCUAACAUGCCUGCGAGUGUUUGGGUGGAAAACCCGAGCGCGUAAUGAAAGUGAAAGUCGAGAUCCUUGUCAUGGGGAGCAUCGACGCCCGGACCAGAAGUUUACGGACGGCCCUGCGGUAGAGCAUGUAUGUUGGGACCCGAAAGAUGGUGAACUAUGCCUGAAUAGGGUGAAGCCAGAGGAAACUCUGGUGGAGGCUCGUAGCGAUUCUGACGUGCAAAUCGAUCGUCAAAUUUGGGUAUAGGGGCGAAAGACUAAUCGAACCAUCUAGUAGCUGGGUUCCUGCCGAG
rnacentral:rRNA from 1 species